UACGUAGGUGUCGAGCGUUUGUCCGGAUUCAUUGGGGCGUAAAGCGCCCGCAGGCGGCUUGGCAAGUUUGAGGUGAAAUCUCCCGGCUCAACUGGGAGGGUGCCUCGAAAACUGCCAGGCUUGAGUCAUGGAGAGGGAUGUGGAAUUCCAGGUGUAGUGGUGAAAUGCGUAGAUAUCGGGAGGAACACCUGUGGCGAAAGCGGCUCACUGGACCACAACUGACGCUGAGGCGGCGAAAGCUAGGGGAGCAAACAGG
rnacentral:rRNA from 1 species